AGUGAACGCUGGCGGUAGGCCUAACACAUGCAAGUCGAACGGCAGCACAGGAGAGCUUGCUCUCUGGGUGGCGAGUGGCGGACGGGUGAGGAAUACAUCGGAAUCUACUCUGUCGUGGGGGACAACGUAGGGAAACUUACGCUAAUACAACAUACGACCUACGGGUGAAAGCAGGGGAUCUUCGGACCUUGCGCGAUUGAAUGAGCCGAUGUCGGAUUAGCUAGUUGGGGGGGUGAAGGCCCACCAAGGCGACGAUCCGUAGCUGGUCUGAGAGGAUGAUCAGCCACACUGGUACUGAGACACGGUCCAGACUCCUACGGGAGGCAGCAGUGGGGAAUAUUGGACAAUGGGCGCAAGCCUGAUCCAGCCAUACCUCGUGGAUGAAGAAGGCCGUCGGGUUGUAAAGCCCUUUUGUUGGGAAAGAAAUCCAGCUGGCUAAUACCCGGUUGGGAUGACGGUACCCAAAGAAUAAGCACCGGCUAACUUCGUGCCAGCCGCCGCCGUAA
rnacentral:rRNA from 1 species